rnacentral:rRNA from 1 species
UACAGAGGGGGCAAGCGUUGUUCGGAAUUACUGGGCGUAAAGGGCGCGUAGGCGGCCCGCUAAGUCGAACGUGAAAUCCCCGGGCUCAACCCGGGAACUGCGUCCGAUACUGGUGGGCUUGAAUCCGGGAGAGGGAUGCGGAAUUCCAGGUGUAGCGGUGAAAUGCGUAGAUAUCUGGAGGAACACCGGUGGCGAAGGCGGCAUCCUGGACCGGUAUUGACGCUGAGGAGCGAAAGCUAGGGGAGCAAACGGG